rnacentral:misc_RNA from 1 species
AACGCAUAUGGCACCUUUUGGUCUUUACUAGAAGGUAUGCCUGUUUGAGAAUCAUUUUAUUCUUUUGAUCCAUUUGAUCCACCGACGAUCAUUCAUUUGAUUUGUUGGCCAUUUGGAUCGACAUUGGGCUUUUAUCAUUAAUCGUCUUGAAUUCAUGCACGGGUUGUUUCGUGAUAAAGGGUGCACUGUUGCACUUGUUAUAUCCAUCGAUCAACCCAUCCACCUUUUAUUAGUGAUCUCAAAUCAGGCAAGAUUACCCGCUGAACUUAA